AAAAGGCCAGGACCAGAAUCCACUCACACCCUCUGAGGACCAGAGGACACCUGCCACUGGCCUGCAACGCAUAGUUAGCAGGAGAGACGUCAGAAGGCAAAGGGCAGGGUUGGUGAAAAGAAAGGCCGUGUGGGAGUCAAUGGUGCUAGGUGUUCAUUGAAGAGCGAGCACACAUUGCUUUUCCUAUGGAGAGUCCUGGACAAAGAGACUAGUGGCUGCAGGAGGCAGAGAGAACCUGCAGGCUGUCCCAUCCCAGAGACAACCUGUCUGUCUUCCCCCAGAACCCAGGAGCUCUGAGAUCAAGC
rnacentral:lncRNA from 1 species